rnacentral:rRNA from 1 species
AACGAACGCUGGCGGCGUGGAUAAGACAUGCAAGUCGAGCGAGAUUUUUUCCUGUAGCAAUACAGGGAAACGUCUAGCGGCGAACGGGUGCUUAACACGCGGGCAACCUGCCAAGAAGUGGGGGAUAGCUCGCCGAAAGGCGAAUUAAUACCGCAUGUGAUUAGAGUGGACAUCCAUUCAAAAUCAAAGUCGGGGCAACCUGACGCUUCUUGAGGGGCCCGCGGCCUAUCAGCUAGUUGGUGAGGUAACGGCCCACCAAGGCUUUGACGGGUAGCUGGUCUGAGAGGACGACCAGCCACACUGGGACUGAGACACGGCCCAGACACCUACGGGUGGCAGCAGUCGAGAAUUUUUCUCAAUGGGGGAAACCCUGAAGGAGCGACGCCGCGUGGAGGAUGAAGGUCUUCGGGUUGUAAACUCCUGUCAUUUGGGAACAAUGCGUAAAUAUUAACUGUAUCUGCGUUGAUAGUACCAGAAGAGGAAGAGACGGCUAACUCUGUGCCAGCAGCCGCCGUAACAC